CCUUGACAUCCAGAGACUUAGCAGAGAUGCUUUGGUGCCUUCGGGAACUCUGAGACAGGUGCUGCAUGGCUGUCGUCAGCUCGUGUUGUGAAAUGUUGGGUUAAGUCCGCAACGAGCGCAACCCUUAUCCUUUGUUGCCAGCGGUUCGGCCGGGAACUCAAAGGAGACUGCCGGUGAUAAACCGGGGGAAGGUGGGGAUGACGUCAAGUCAUCAUGGCCCUUACGGCCAGGGCUACACACGUGCUACAAUGGCGCAUACAAAGAGAAGCGACCUCGCGAGAGCAAGCGGACCUCAUAAAGUGCGUCGUAGUCCGGAUUGGAGUCUGCAACUCGACUCCAUGAAGUCGGAAUCGCUAGUAAUCGUAGAUCAGAAUGCUACGGUGAAUACGUUCCCGGGCCUUGUACACACCGCCCGUCACACCAUGGGAGUGGGUUGCAAAAGAAGUAGGUAGCUUAACCUUCGGGAGGGCGCUUACCACUUUGUGAUUCAUGACUGGGGUGAAGUCGUAACAAGGUAAGCGUAGCGAG
rnacentral:rRNA from 1 species